ACGAUCAAUUGCUUUUAACUUUCGUUCUAUAAUGCUGUAUUAAUUGCUAGGGGAGGCUAGGGAUAACAAGCUAGUAAUUAGUAUUAGGCUCUUUUCACCUAGGGAUCGGGUUAAGGGUAGGCUAAGAAAGUUGCAUGACAAUUAAUUAAUCAAACUAAUAAUUCAAGAGGAGUAAAUAAGAAAGUGUGGAUAAGAUGAAAUUGUAAACCCCCAACAACUCCAUUCAUCCAUUGUUUUCUUUUGUCAAUUGAAUCAUUCUCUUUAUUGCAUGUUCAUAUUUUUAUUCUCCUACACAAUUAUUUAAUUUUUAUUUUCAAGUCUUAUUAUUUUAAUUCACGUGAACGAGAAAGUCUUUCUAGUCUCUUGGGAAGAACGGUAUUGGGUUUUACCAAUUAUAUUACUUGAAUGAUUUGGUACGCUUGCUAAUCUGUCAACAACACCACAGUCACUUGAUUGAAAUUCUCUCUAAACUGUCCAUUGUGACCAUCUUUUCUCUCUUCUUCUUAUUCUUCACCCUCACUACUUUCCAGCUCAAUAAUCUCCUUUUCUUCUUCCUCUUCACUACUCUCAAUUUCAACAACUUCCUUUUCUGCUUUCCUUUUACUCCUAGUUACAACAGCUUUGCACUCCUCUUUAGAGUUAACAUCAGUAUUAGCCCU
rnacentral:lncRNA from 1 species